GUGGGGAAUAUUGGACAAUGGGCGAAAGUCUGAUCCAGCCAUGCCGCGUGUGUGAAGAAGGUCUUCGGAUUGUAAAGCACUUUAAGUUGGGAGGAAGGGCAGUAAGUUAAUACCUUGCCGUUUUGACGUUACCGACAGAAUAAGCACCGGCUAACUUCGUGCCAGCAGCCGCGGUAAUACGAAGGGUGCAAGUGUUAAUCGGAAUUACUGGGCGUAAAGCGCGCGUAGGUGGUUUUGUAAGUUGGAGGUGAAAUCCCCGGGCUCAACCUGGGAACUGCCUCCAAAACUGCAUGACUAGAGUACGGUAGAGGGUAGUGGAAUUUCCUGUGUAGCGGUGAAAUGCGUAGAUAUAGGAAGGAACACCAGUGGCGAAGGCGACUACCUGGACUGAUACUGACACUGAGGUGCGAAAGCGUGGGGAGCAAACAGGAUUAGAAACCCUAGUAGUCC
rnacentral:rRNA from 1 species